UUUUACUCUGGGGUCAGUAAGGGAGAAAGAAAUGAGGUGGAUUUCAGAGGACCUCCUUCAACCAUUGGAAAGAAGGAAAAAGUACACCUCUGUAACCAUGCCACAUCUAUCCUAACAGAUUCCAGGAACACUGACUCUCUACUCGUGUGCAUCUAAUCCAUCUGUGGACCCCAGUUCCUGUUACCAAAAGUGGGGGGAUGUGUCAAGAAGUGUAUAGGUGUGCCAUACAAAAUGCAAUUGCCACAGAAGAGGCAGCUGGUUCCUACCUCUGGGUGAGGUACAGGAUCACUGAGAAAACUCCAUUCCUGAGACCAGAGAGACAGGGUCUGGCUGAACCUGAGGCUGAAGCAGGAAUACAGAAAGCUCUUCCAGCCUCUCACUGCCCUCCCCACCCCCCGGCAAGCACCAAAUAACAAGUACCAGAAGGAGAGAGAAAAUGAGACAGAAGAAAUAUUUGAAGAGAUAGUGGUCAAGAAUUUUCUGAAAAUGUUGAAAUGUAUCAAACCACAGUUGCACAAAGCUCAAGAGAAUGCCAAGAAGGAUUUAAAAAACAAACAAACAAAAACUAGACACACUAUAUUCAAACUGCUGAAAGGCCAAAGUUACAGAGAAAAUCUUGUAGACAAAGGGGGAAAAAAAGUGUUAUAUACAAACCUGUGCAAGCCAAACAACAGUGGAGUGAUGUCUUUAAAGUGCGAGAAGAAAAAAAUCUGAUGACUCUGAAUUCUAUGCCCAACAAGACUAUCUUUUAAAGAUGAAGGAAAACUGCUUUUUCAGCCAAAAACUGGGAAAAUGCAAUAGCAUAUCUAUGCUACAGAAAAAUGUUAAAGGAAGUUCUUUUUUUUUUAAUAAAUUUAU